UUCCUUACUGCACUGGCCACCAGAGCUUAAUUUUCCCAGCAGUAACAGCAAUGGGAGAUAUAACAGUCUCAAUCUUUUGCCAACAAUCAGGUUCCUAGAAACCAGACAUACACUGUCAAAUGGAAGAAAUUAAAGCCGCAUCCUCAAUAUUAGGCAACAGAGUUUCUAAGAGUGGACAGCUCCAAGAAGGUUGUGAAGGAAACUUCAGGCCGUGAGAAACACGGCUUCAUCAGAAUCCCGGUCCUUGCCACUGUCUUCACUCGGUGCAUGCUCACCGCCACUUGGAGACCGACAGCUCAAAUCCUCCACCCCGGACUCUUGGUCACUGUUGGCUGACAGAUCUGGAUCUGAACUUUUCAGAUUGUCUUGGGUUAGAAUCAGAGCAGAAUCUUCAUCACCUUGUGAAGGGCUCCGGGAUGGAAAUGAUUUCAUAUUCCCACUGUAAUCCUGGGGAGUGUUGGCUAUGCUGUUGUCUGAGGUAGAAAACCCUGAGUGCUUGCUGGGCUCACUUUGCUUACUCUUCACCUUAGUGCAAUUUAACUGGACCUUUUGAAUUUUUUCCAGCCUCUAAGAAAGAAAGAACAAUUUCGGGGAAAAAUCAUAAAUAAUUUAUCUUUUUCUAUA
rnacentral:sRNA from 1 species